GCAACCUCAAGCUCGCGCACGGCAACAUCGUGGUCUACCGUUCCCUGCUGGGCAUCAGCUGGAUGUGGUUCUUCGGCGCGGUCUUCCUCAGCCAGUUCCCCAGCUUCGCCAAGGAGGUGCUG
rnacentral:ncRNA from 1 species